rnacentral:rRNA from 1 species
AACGAACGCUGGCGGCAUGCCUAACACAUGCAAGUCGAACGGGAUCUUGACUUCGGUCAGGUGAGAGUGGCGGACGGGUGAGUAACACGUGGGAACCUGCCUUUUGGUUCGGGAUAACCGCGGGAAACUGCGGCUAAUACCGGAUACUCCCGAGAGGGGAAAGGAUUUAUCGCCAGAAGAGGGGCCCGCGUCCGAUUAGGUAGUUGGUGGGGUAAUGGCCUACCAAGCCGACGAUCGGUAGCUGGUCUGAGAGGAUGAUCAGCCACACUGGGACUGAGAUACGGCCCAGACUCCUACGGGAGGGCAGCAGUGGGGAA